UUUAAGUUAGGUGAACAUUGCACACCACCACAAGUUUGGCCACUUAUGGUAACAGGUAUUUAGGUUCACAUUUAAAACCUUUUAGCAGGAACUGAUGUCACUGAAACAACUUGAAAACUAUUCGAGACAGCCAAAAGUUUUGCAAAAUCGGACACUUUCCAAACAAAGAAGCGCCAUUUCAGCACAAGUUCUGAAGACUACAUGUAAUAGGCAGUUUUCCAUCUUGCAUUAGCAAGUAGGAGAAAAUGUCAAGGGCUGAAAAAAAGAAGAAUGGGGUAUUUAACUGUGAAUCUGAAUCGGAGAAGAGAGUCGACUGCCAUACAAAACUUCCUUCUCUAAGACUUGAUAUCUACAAUGCAAGCGGAAAAUCAGUUCAAUACAAGAAAAUUAUAGUGAAUACAAUAGUAGAAAGUGUACGAAGAAGUCCCAAGAAAAAAAUUCAAAACCUUUCGUAUUUUUAUUUUUUUUGCGGGGUAAAACCUUUCAUAUUGCAAUGUGCUGAAGAUUUUCCUAACAAUUAGAUCAGCCAUAUACGCAAGAGAGUCAAUUGCCCAUUCACGGGUCACCAAAGAACAACAAUUUAAGGAGCAGAAGUCAACUAAUUACAACUGCAGAUAAGUUGACUACAAACCUUCCUGGCUAUUACCAUAGUAAGCAAUCGGCAACUCUAAGUACGGUAACAAAGCAAGUCUCCCGAUUCUAAUAACAAUAGUACUAAAUUGUGAAGGCUUGUGUUACAUCAAUUUAUCCCAUUGUGUGCAUGAAAAAAAUGAACUGCUAGAUAUAUGUUUCCAAUCGACUAUCAUAUGAAUUCUUCAACUUUUAUCUGGAGAUUUUGAAGUAGCAAAGUAUUCCCUCAAGUUACAAAAUUGGAAAGAUCAAGGCUUUUGCUAAGCUGGGAGCAUUCAUAUGACAUGUUGGUCUUCAAAAUUGAUCUCUAACUAAAAAAGAGCUUGCUGAACUGAAAACAUGUACUACAUGCACAACUACUGUCAGGAAAGUGAUAGUGGUUUAGAAGCCCGAUCCGCUAGAGUAUCAUCACUGGAAAUUUGACUGAUCAUCCAAGAUGAUUUACCAAAACUGAAAGCAAACAAUCUUAUACAUGAAUACCUAUAUGGCUGUAAUUAGAACUAAAACACGCUAUUUUGAACAUGGGCAGGAAAGUAUAAAUCAGUGCAGUAUUUGGGAGAUUAUGAUGGUGUACUAAACAUAAAUGUAACCAGCCAGCUUCUAUAGGGAAUGCAAAUACUCAUGGAAUGAAAAAAUAGAGCACAUCUUUGCAGGAAUAAGGUACAUGUUUCCUUACCUGUAGGUAAAAUGCACCAUACUAUUUUAUUUCUUGCAGCCCUUAGCAUCCUGUAAAAAUAAAAUAAGAAGUCAUGUUAAGUGGUCCGUGAAAGCGGAUACAUGUACUAACAUGAUAUAUUUUCUGCCCGCUAGCAAGUUACUAAGCAAGAUCAUCAAAUAUUUCUUUAUAGACCACAUGUGAGUUUUGCCAGUGUUUUCAGGAGAGUUAUUUUCAAAUUUGUAAUCUGAGAACUGACCAAGAGAUACUCACACAAGUCAAAAUAGGAACCCUAGGCGCUAAAUUUGAGAUGUCCAUAAUUACUCCAACGUAGUAACCAACCCAUACUCUGUAAACUUAGUUUUUUAAAUACUUCAAAAAGAAGUGUACAGGCAAGAAUGUGUCUUCCAUAGGUAUGUUUACAUUUUCUAAAAGUGUAUUCAAAUGGGAGUAGUAUGUAAAAAAAGGUGAAGACUAAUAAUGUGGUAUGCAUAUAUCAUAAUUAUUAUGAAUACACCGGUAGGUGUAAAAAAGGCUGAACUGAACUGGCCGCAAAUUUCCUCUAGCCACGAAUGUAGCCAUGGUGUCCAAAGAGCGCCUUCUGGUUCUUGGUGAAUUGUACGCCACAUAAGCAAUGCCCUAUGUGCUUGCAAUCAGACAACCAUGUGAUUUUACCAUUCUUCCAAAAGACCGCCGGUGCAUCAUUUUCACAUAAAACUUGCACGCACACGCAUUUUUUUUGUACAACUACGAAAUGAGCAGUAAAUUAGGAAUGUGUCGCCAAUCAAAAUGAAGUCCCCUUCCCAUAAUUUUUGUAAAGAAAUCAACAUCAUAAAGCUCUUUGAUUACCUUCCAUUCAAGCUGACCAUGAAGUUUUGCUGCUGGAAUCCUCUUUGGAGAUGUAACAACCUGUAGAAAAUAAAUAACUUAUAUGACUGGCAAAGCAAAAACACAUUAUCAUGCAAAAUAUAGUUAUGUACAUUCAGCAAGAUAUAGAUGACAACAUUCUAUGAGAAGAAAUCACACUGUCCUACAGAGCGCAACCAAACCAUUCCCAGUUCAGUUUAGUAUAAAAGUACUACAUUACUAAAGGAGAGCUAGUUCUCACAUAGGAAUAAAAUAAGAUCAAUCAUGCAGGGUCUGACAUUCAUAUAGAUACUGAAAUAUUCUGCAAAUAAAUCAUCCAUACCCAGGAUAUAUCAAAUACUUCCACAUGAAAAUGAAGAAGAAAAACAUGGCACACAUCAUUCAUUCAUAGUAGAGCUUAAAACAUGCUAGAAGGUGAGUAUGUCAGAUUGACAAUAAAAAACAGAUAGCUUCGUUGGUACUCACUGUUGUUGGGACUAUCAAAUUAAAAUUCCAUAUCUAUUAGAAAACUGAUAAAGCUUGAGGGCCUCUUAAAUACAAAGAGAGGGCAUGUGCAGAGAGGCCAUCCAUACCGAUUAAGAAAACUCACUUUUUAGCAACCAGACUCCUUCAAGCAGAGGUGGGGGCAUGGUCAUGGGAUUUAGAUGACCAGUUCCGCCAAAUGGCGCAGAGACCCAUUUAAAGCCAUGUGCUCGUUGAAAAUAUUUGCAUUUUUCAAUAACUAUGUAUUUGAGCAACUACAAACGAUAAGAAAUUGGCUUUCUUUGUAAAAAUUUAAUUUAUUAUAGAGUUAAGCUCACAUAAAAGGAAAGAUGGCAACAACGGAGUACAAUUGUAUUGCGUGCAACAGCAACCAAAAUUAGUUAGCUAAUAAAUUGUUUGAAGGUAACCAAACAUUUCGGAGGAGUUUAUGCCACAUCUCAUUCUGCUAAAAAAAGAUCACGAAAAGAAAGAAAAACGGCCAUCAAUGAUGAUACAAUUGAUUUGAUA
rnacentral:lncRNA from 1 species